AACGAACGCUGGCGGCAUGCCUAACACAUGCAAGUCGAACGAGACCUUCGGGUCUAGUGGCGCAUGGGUGCGUAACGCGUGGGAACCUGCCCUUAGGCUCGGAAUAACUCCCCGACAGGGGUGCUAAUACCGGAUAAUGUCUUCGGACCAAAGAUUUAUCGCCUUUGGUUGGGCCCGCGUUGGAUUAGCUAGUUGGUAGGGUAAAAGCCUACCAAGGCGACGAUGCAUAGCUGGUCUGAGAGGAUGGUCAGCCACACUGGGACUGGGACACGGCCCAGACUCCUCCGGGAGGGAGCAGUGGGGAAUGUUGGACGAUGGGCGAAAGCCUGAUGCAUCAAUGCCGCGUAAGUGAUGUAGGCCUGAGGGUUGUAAAGCUCUUUUACCCGGGAUGAUAAUGACAGUACCGGAAGAGUAAGCUACGGCUAACUCCGUG
rnacentral:rRNA from 1 species